UUUAAUCGAACAUAUAUUUUUUCCUGCAUAAGUAACAAAAUAGUUAAAAGCGUUUGGAUUGAAUGUGACACCACCAUGUGUUUAGAUGUGUUUACUAGGUCUACCUGGGUGCAACAUAACUAUGCAGUUAAAAGCGUUGAGAUUGAAGGCAGCAUCUCCAUCUCAGUGUGUAACAUGAUAAUGCAAUUAAUAGAGUUGAGAGUGAACACGGCAUCUUGAUCAAAGUUCUCUGGUCUUCUUGAUAUAGUUAUGAGGAGCUUGGUGUAUGGGGUUAUUUCCAAGCCGGUGAAUGGAGCCACGGACAGAAGAUCGGAUCCAUUGGCAUCAUAAGACAUGUAGGUGAACCGAGGGCACUCCUAUCAUCAAUCACUGCAGUGUAUAAAGACCUGUGUAUGAACCAGUCUCAGACCUGCAUUACCUGUUGUUUGGAAUCUAAUUCUUUUAUUGGGAGCCUCUGAAGUUUACUAUUAGGCAAUGUCUAAUCUCGGAGGGUACUUGACGUCUUUGUAUACAAAAUACAAAUAUCCUUAUGCCUAUCCCUUAUAAUAAAAUAAGCAAAAUGCAUAGAAGACCAUUUCUUUAGUAGUCUUAUGGGAAUGUAUGAAUGUUUCACCAAUGGAC